CACACCUGCGGCCAGGGGCGCUGUGGGGACCCGCCACGGCCGUGAGCCAAGGGCGCUGGAUCAUAACAGACUCGGCGCCCCCAGAGCAAGGCGGGGACCCCGCGGAGACCCGCCAACAGCCAAGGGCAGCCGGGAGCGCGGGAAGCACCGGCGGGUGCGGCUGCCCAGGUCCCCGCCCGCGCCCUGGGGCUGUGGGGAGACGCGGAGCCGGCGCUGGGAUUCGUCCAUUCAGUCUCGUUGGUGCAGGAACCCCUGACAUAACAGUUUGCUGGAGCUGGCUCCCAGCAAGUAUCACCUGGAACAGGGACCUGUAAGGUACUUCCAGAGCAGGCUCUGCGGUUCCAGAUGUUACUUACUCAAGAUGUUCCACCGAAAGGUGAACUUUUACCACCAGAAAUUGUUGAAAGAGUAAGUAAAUGGGUAUGGGCUGAUGGGACCCCAGGACAUGCGAAACAUGCAGAGCCUGUAAAGAUAGAAGUGAUAGAGGAGAGCAAAACCCCAAGGAGGAAGCAAUACCCCUUAAAGGAGGAGGCAUUGUGGGAAACUGAGCCAGUAUUGAAAAGGUUCCUUCAAUCUGGACUCAUUCGGCCCUGCUGCUAACCAUACAACACCGUACAACACCAUACAAUUCUGCCAGUGAAGAAACCCCAUACAGGCGAGUACCAUUUUGUCCAAGAUUUAAGGGCCAUUAAUGACAUUGUUCAGGAUUUACAUCCCACCGUGCCUAAUCCCUACACCUUAUUAACUGCCAUACCUGGUGACUUCGGGUGGUUUUCAGUAUUAGACCUUAAGGAUGCCUUUUUCUGUAUCCCAAUAGAUGCCCAGGAUCAACUGCUUUUUGCCUUUGAGUGGCAAGACCCUAAGAGCACUCUCCAGUAUUGCUGGACUGUGCUUCCACAGGGGUUUAAGAACUCCCCAACUAUUUUUGGGGAAAUACUGGCCAGCCAGGGAUCUCAGGAAGGUUCAAUUAAACCAGGGCAUCAAAGUCCCCAGCAACCGGCGACAGUUGCGCAAAUUUUUGGGUAUGGCUGGGUUUUGCAGGAUUUGGAUUCCUAU